rnacentral:tRNA from 1 species
UCUACCAAAGGAUAGUAGU